CCUACGGGAGGCAGCAGUGGGGAAUAUUGCACAAUGGGCGAAACCCUGAUGCAGCGACGCCGCGUGAAGGAAGAAGGAUUUCGGUAUGUAAACUUCUAUCAGCAGGGAAGAAAAUGACGGUACCUGACUAAGAAGCCCCGGCUAACUACGUGCCAGCAGGCGCGGUAAUACGUAGGGGGCAAGCGUUAUCCGGAUGUACUGGGUGUAAAGGGAGCGUAGGCGGUUUAGCAAGUCAGAAGUGAAAGCCCGGGGCUCAACUCCGGGACGGCUUUUGAAACUGUGGAACUAGAGUGCAGGAGAGGUAAGUGGAAUGCCUGGUGUAGCGGUGAAAUGCGUAGAUAUUAGGAGGAACACCAGUGGCGAAGGCGGCUUACUGGACUGUAAAUGACGCUGAGGCUCGAAAGCGUGGGGAGCAAACAGGAUUAGAUACCCCAGUAGUC
rnacentral:rRNA from 1 species